GCACGUAGUUAGCCGGUGCUUCUUCUUCGGGUACCGUCAUUAGUCCGUGGUAUUAGCACGAACCGUUUCGUCCCCACCGAAAGAGCUUUACAACCCGAAGGCCUUCUUCACUCACGCGGCAUGGCUGGAUCAGGCUUGCGCCCAUUGUCCAAAAUUCCCCACUGCUGCCUCCCGUAGGAGUCUGGACCGUGUGUCAGUUCCAGUGUGGCUGAUCGUCCUCUCAGACCAGCUACGGAUCGUAGCCUUGGUGGGCUGUUACCCCGCCAACUAGCUAAUCCGGUAUCGGCCGCUCCUAUAGUGCGAAGCCUUGCGGUCCUCCGCUUUCCUCCGUAGAGCGUAUGCGGUAUUAGCCUCUCUUUCGAGAGGUUAUCCCCCGCUACAGGGUACGUUCCGAUAUAUUACUCACCCGUGCGCCACUCGCCACCAGGGGUUGCCCCCCGUGCUGCCGUUCGACUUGCAUGUGUAAGGCAUGCCGCCAGCGUUCAAU
rnacentral:rRNA from 1 species